CCUACGGGGGGCAGCAGUAGGGAAUAUUGCUCAAUGGGGGAAACCCUGAAGCAGCAACGCCGCGUGGAGGAUGAAGGUUCUCGGAUUGUAAACUCCUUUUGUUAGAGAAGAUAAUGACGGUAUCUAACGAAUAAGCACCGGCUAACUCCGUGACAGCAGCCGCGGUAAUAUGGAGGGUGCAAGCGUUAUUCGGAAUCACCGGGCGUAAGGCGCGCGUAGGCGGUCCGUUAAGUCAGCGGGAAAAUUGCGGGGCUCACCCCCGUCGAGCCGUUGAAACUGGCAGACUUGAGUUGGCGAGAAGUACGCGGAAUGCGCGGUGUAGCGGUGAAAUGCAUAGAUAUCGCGCAGAACUCCGAUUGCGAAGGCAGCGUACCGGAGCCAGACUGACGCUGAGGCACGAAAGCGUGGGGAUCGAACAGGAUUAGAUACCCGAGUAGUC
rnacentral:rRNA from 1 species